rnacentral:rRNA from 1 species
UACGUAGGGCGCGAGCGUUGUCCGGAAUUAUUGGGCGUAAAGAGCUUGUAGGCGGUUUGUCGCGUCUGCUGUGAAAGCCCGGGGCUUAACCCCGGGUUUGCAGUGGGUACGGGCUAACUAGAGUGCAGUAGGGGAGACUGGAAUUCCUGGUGUAGCGGUGAAAUGCGCAGAUAUCAGGAGGAACACCAAUGGCGAAGGCAGGUCUCUGGGCUGUAACUGACGCUGAGAAGCGAAAGCAUGGGGAGCAAACAGG